UUAAUUCUUUUCUACGCCAUUAAACGCAGCACGAAAUUGUCACGCACAGCGUCGCUCACCGCGGGUUGUUUGCGGGGGGAGGGCAUUUUACGUUACUUUUACAGCGGCCGGCUGCAAGAGAACUACCUGCAGUGCCGCAGCAAGGCAUUAAUACGGGACAAUCUGCGGUCGGCAGAUCGCUAGGAAAGGACGUCACGUGACAAAGAUGGACGACAGUCAAGGCGGAAGCGCUGCAAUUACAGGAAACAUCAGCGGCAAUUAAAGUGACGGGUGGAAUGCGUUCAACAUGUGCAGAAGCGGAUGAGGUCACGUCAGACAUUUGAACACUCUUCAGCUAUUUACAAUCGACGGGAUGAGAUCCCUCGCACCGCCAUCAUAACUCAUAAAGGACGCCGCUUGAUGGCGAUCCAGACUUUUCCACCCUCUGACGGAUCACGUGCGGUUAGUUAUAAGUUGUUCAACUUAGCGGGGUCACCCCGGAGGAGCUUUGAUAAGACGCACAUUCCACAAUUGUUCCUGAGAUAAAGAAAAAUCCACGUUGGAAUGAGCUCCUCUUCCUCAAAAGUUUUGUAGAGGAACAGGUAGCUGUCAAAGUCGCCUUUGGGCUCCCUCCACGAGACCAGCAACUUGUUUGGCUUCAGCACUUUGAAACGAAGCCUCCGCGGAGCUGCAACUGAAGGAACACAUCACGGUCCACACGUCUACCACGGGAAAUUAAUCACGAGUCGAUUAAUCAAAAGGAUACUAAUUAAAAUACUCCGCUUCGCCGGGGACACGAAGUAGGCGCUCUUCUUCACAGGUCAGCACAUCCGCCACAUGCGGAAUAUUAAGAAUAUUCAAGCUCAACAUUCUGCUCCUUAAUGUGCCAACAUGCUUUUGGGGAUCUGGCGGGAAAGGAUUGAUAUGGGUAAGAAAGAGCCUUGUCUAAUACAGCAGCUAUAGGCAGUCCACUACAAUAUCCAUCCAUCCAUUUUCUUUUGCCGCUUAUCCUCACGAGGGUGGCGGGGAGUGCUGGAGCCUAUCCAGUCGUCAACGGGCAGGAGGCGAGGUACACCCUGAACUGGUCGCCAGCCAAUCGCGGGGGACAUAGAGGCAGUCACAAUCGCACCAAGGGCCAAUUUAGAGGAAACCGGAGUGCCCAGAGAAAACGGGGAGAACAUGCGAACUCCACACAGGCGGGGCCGGGAUUGAACCCGGAUCCUCAGAACUGUGAGGUCAACGCUUUACCAGAACGGAACGACUAUCGGCCUCAGCCUGGAUUUGAAGGCAAAAACCCGGCCACUGACCACCAGCAACACGGGAGCCGGAUCACGUGGUCCCGCAUCUGCACUGAUGAAAUCUUCCGCCGCACUUGAGUUACUCGUGGCAUCUGUCUGCGCGACGUACCGUACUCCUUUUCAGCUCAUAAUAUAACGUGUCCCGCCAGGGUCGAGUGCGCCUUCAGCCCAAAGUCAUCCGGGCAGGUCUUCGGCUCCCAGCGGCCCCCAACGAGGCUAGCGGGACGGCAAAUGCUUGCGUGGACAGAUGCACUGAAAGGUUUCAAUCAUUUAUCUAACCGCUGCGUCCUCUUCUGCCAAUUCGUAUUCAUUUUUACCCCGACCGGGGCUGCGCCACUCACAACAAUGCAAAUGUACGUUUGGGUUUGUCUUCCUUAGUUCCGCGUUCUUGUUUGUAUUACUUUUGCGUUUGUGUGUGGCUUCAAAAAGAGGGCAACGGUUGCGAUACUCUGGCCCAUUUUUGCCGGAAGCGCCGCUUGGCACGACGCAUUCGAUUCUAAUGCGCAAAAGAUUUAAGUACGUUCUUGGCGGCGGGCUGCCUUCUAUUCUCGAUCAAUAUAUUUUGUCAGGUUCUCGUAAUUGUUUGGGCUUUCCUGCUGUAAUUGUUUUCCCCUUUUGAACUUGUUGUUCAUAUUGACUACACCUGAUAAGAAAAUGUUCACAUUUUUCUUUUA